rnacentral:rRNA from 1 species
GACGAACGCUGGCGGCGUGCUUAACACAUGCAAGUCGAACGGAAAGGCCCUGCUUUUGUGGGGUGCUCGAGUGGCGAACGGGUGAGUAACACGUGAGUAACCUGCCCUUGACUUUGGGAUAACUUCAGGAAACUGGGGCUAAUACCGGAUAGGAGCUCCUGCUGCAUGGUGGGGGUUGGAAAGUUUCGGCGGUUGGGGAUGGACUCGCGGCUUAUCAGCUUGUUGGUGGGGUAGUGGCUUACCAAGGCUUUGACGGGUAGCCGGCCUGGGAGGGUGACCGGCCACAUUGGGACUGAGAUAGGGCCCAGACUCCUACGGGAGGCAGCAGUGGGGAAUAUUGUACAAUGGGCGGAAGCCUGAUGCAGCAACGCCGCGUGUGGGAUGACGGCCUUCGGGUUGUAAACCGCUUUCGCCUGUGACGAAGCGUGAGUGACGGUAAUGGGUAAAGAAGCACCGGCUAACUACGUG